rnacentral:lncRNA from 1 species
CAGCCCGCGUAUCAAAUCACGCUGACAACGGCAUCACUCGGGAGGCAACGUAGGCGAUUCGCGUGCCCAGUGAUCCGACGAUCCAACUUUGAUCUCACGUGCGUGAACAGUUUAGAUUCGUUCCCUUCUUAAGUGCAAUCGGAUGGACAAGACUAAUCGUGAUGAACGACCUAGAUUUGUUUUCUCCUUAGGCGCGAUCAGGCAGACAAGAUCAAUUACAAUGUACGAUCCAAAUCGAUGCGGGAUG